CCUACGGGAUGCUGCAGUAGGGAAUCUUCCACAAUGGGCGCAAGCCUGAUGGAGCAACACCGCGUGAGUGAAGAAGGGUUUCGGCUCGUAAAGCUCUGUUGUUGGAGAAGAACGUGCGUGAGAGUAACUGUUCACGCAGUGACGGUAUCCAACCAGAAAGUCACGGCUAAAUACGUGCCAGCAGCCGCGGUAAUACGUAGGUGGCACGCGUUAUCCGGAUUUAUUGGGCGUAAAGCGAGCGCAGGCGGGUGCUUAGGUCUGAUGUGAAAGCCUUCGGCUUAACCCAAGGAGUGCAUCGGAAACUGGGCAACUUGAGUGCAGAAGAGGACAGUGGAACUCCAUGUGUAGCGGUGGAAUGCGUAGAUAUAUGGAAGAACACCAGUGGCGAAGGCGGCUGUCUGGUCUGCAACUGACGCUGAGGCUCGAAAGCAUGGGUAGCGAACAGGAUUAGAUACCCGGGUAGUC
rnacentral:rRNA from 1 species